UACGUAGGGUGCAAGCGUUGUCCGGAAUUAUUGGGCGUAAAGAGCUCGUAGGCGGUUUGUCGCGUCUGCCGUGAAAGUCCGGGGCUCAACUCCGGAUCUGCGGUGGGUACGGGCAGACUAGAGUGAUGUAGGGGAGACUGGAAUUCCUGGUGUAGCGGUAGAAAUGCGCAGAUAUCAGGAGGAACACCGGUGGCGAAGGCGGGUCUCUGGGCCGAUACUGACGUGAGGAGCGAAAGCGUGGGGAGCGAACAGG
rnacentral:rRNA from 1 species